rnacentral:lncRNA from 1 species
GAGGUGAUCUUCCCGUGUCUGAGUUACCCAAGAGGAGGCUGAAUGUCAUGGAUGCUGCGAAAGGAUGGCUGUGCUGGCUGGGACGUUGGAUAAGAUUGAGCACAGAGUCAUAACAAGAAGAUCACAACAUUUAUAUCCGCCAUGAGGAGGCAAACUGACCUGUUGCUUUUUCUCUCUAUGGUUGAGUGAAUAUUGACUGAAGCCCUUGUACCCAUUGGCCCAUGAACACAAAGAAGUUUUAUCUAAGAGCCAUGCUUCACAGCAGGAACUGUUUCUCGCAGCUUUUGUGAACCAAGAAAGGCAAUAUUCUUCUGCGACUGUCUUGCUAACCUUCCUUGCACACUCUGUUCUGGAGAACCUUGGCUGUU